rnacentral:rRNA from 1 species
AUUGAACGCUGGCGGCAUGCCUUACACAUGCAAGUCGAACGGUAACAGGUCUUCGGAUGCUGACGAGUGGCGAACGGGUGAGUAAUACAUCGGAACGUGCCUAGUAGUGGGGGAUAACUACUCGAAAGAGUGGCUAAUACCGCAUGAGAUCUACGGAUGAAAGCAGGGGAUCGCAAGACCUUGUGCUACUAGAGCGGCCGAUGGCAGAUUAGGUAGUUGGUGGGAUAAAAGCUUACCAAGCCGACGAUCUGUAGCUGGUCUGAGAGGACGAUCAGGCACACUGGGACCGAGACACGGCCCAGACUCCAGCGUGAGGAAGCAGUGGAGAAUGUUGGACAAGGGGCGGAAGCCUGAUCUAGCAAUGCCGCGUGCAGGAUGAAGGCCUUCGGGUUGUAAAGCUCUUACGGCAGGAACGAAAUCCUGCGGGCUAAUAUCCUGCGGGGAUGACGGUACCUGAAGAAUAAGCACCGGCUAACUACGUGCCAGCCGCCGCGGUAA